rnacentral:rRNA from 1 species
GAUGAACGCUGGCGGGAGGCCUAACACAUGCAAGCCGAGCGGUAUUGUUUCUUCGGAAAUGCGAGAGCGGCGUACGGGUGCGUAACACGUGUGCAACCUGCCUUUAUCUGGGGGAUAGCCUUUCGAAAGGAAGAUUAAUACUCCAUAAUAUAUUGAACGGCAUCGUUUAAUAUUGAAAGCUCCGGCGGAUAGAGAUGGGCACGCGCGAGAUUAGCUAGUUGGUGAGGUAACGGCUGACCAAGGCGAUGAUCUUUAGGGGGCCUGAGAGGGUGGUCCCCCAAACUGGUACCGGGACACGGACCAGACUCCUACGGGAGGAAGCAGUGAGGAAGACUGGGCAGUGGGUGCAAGCCUGAACCAGCCAUCCCGCGUGAAGGACGACUGCCCUAUGGGUUGUAAACUUCUUUUGUAUAGGGAUAAACCUACCCUCGAGAGGGUAGCUGAAGGUACUAUACGAAUAAGCACCGGCUAACUACGUG